AAAUGCGAUAAGUAAUGUGAAUUGCAGAAUUUAGUGAAUCAUCGAAUCUUUGAACGCACAUUGCGCCCGCCAGUAUUCUGGCGGGCAUGCCUGUCCGAGCGUCAUUUCAACCAUCAAGCCCCCGGGCUUGUGUUGGGGACCUGCGGCUGCCCGCAGGCCCUGAAAACCAGUGGCGGGCUCGCUGUCACACCGAGCGUAGUAGCAAUCACCUCGCUCAGGGCGUGCUGCGGGUUCCGGCCGUUAAACAGCCUUACAAAACCCAAGGUUGACCUCGGAUCAGGUAGGAAGACCCGCUGAACUUAAGC
rnacentral:misc_RNA from 1 species